ensembl:lncRNA
CUGUACGAAUAUCGUACAUCCGAUUGCUUAGAAAAGUCAUAGCACACCUCUCCUCAAUAAGCCGCACGAUUUGACACCUCAUUCAUGGGUCUACGACAAACAGUGCAGGAGGAGUAGCGCGCCAAAAGUUUUUCAGGGCGAAUAGUAAUAGUAACACUAGAAUGUACAUUUCCUGAAGAAAAUGUGAGUGGUGCUUGCAGUGGCAAAACUCGGCGCUCGGUUGCUAAGGUGUUUCUUGGCGUUUGUUAGAGCGGUUGCUAGGGUACCCAAGGUGGUUGCUAGGGUGUAGCUAUGUGGUUGCUAGGUCACUUGGGGUGGUUGCUAAGGUGUUGCUAAGCGGUUGCUAGGGUGUUCUGGGUGGUUGCUAGGCGGUUGCUAGGCAGUUGCUAAGGUACUUAGGGUGGUUGCUAAGGUGUUGCUAUGCGGUUGCUAGGGUGUUCUGGGUGGUUGCUAGGUGGUUGCUAGGCAGUUGCUAAGGUACUUGGGGUGGUUGCUAAGGUGUUGCUAGGCGGUUGCUAGGGUGUUCUGAGUGGUUGCUAGGUGGUUGCUAUGGUAACCUGGGUGGUUGCUAGGCAGUUGCUAAGGUACUUGGGGUGGUUGCUAAGGUGUUGCUAUGCGGUUGCUAGGGUGUUCUGGGUGGUUGCUAGGUGGUUGCUAGGCAGUUGCUAAGGUACUUGGGGUGGUUGCUAAGGUGUUGCUAGGUGGUUGCUAGGUUAUUUGGGGUGGUUGCUAAGAUGUUGCUAGGCGGUUGCUAGGGUGCUCUGGGUGGUUGCUAGGUGGUUGCUAUGAUAACUGGGGUAGUUGCUAUGCUGUUACUAGGUGGUUGGUAGUUGUCACAGAUGGUCACUAGGUAGUUUAUAUAGAG